rnacentral:rRNA from 1 species
GAUGAACGCUGGCGGCGUGCCUAAUACAUGCAAGUCGAGCGAACAGAUGAGGAGCUUGCUCCUCUGACGUUAGCGGCGGACGGGUGAGUAACACGUGGAUAACCUACCUAUAAGACUGGGAUAACUUCGGGAAACCGGAGCUAAUACCGGAUAAUAUAUUGAACCGCAUGGUUCAAUAGUGAAAGACGGUUUUGCUGUCACUUAUAGAUGGAUCCGCGCCGCAUUAGCUAGUUGGUAAGGUAACGGCUUACCAAGGCAACGAUGCGUAGCCUACCUUAGAGGGUGCUCGGCCACACUGGAACUGAGACACGGUCCAGACUCCUAAGGGAGGCAGCAGUAGGCAAUCUUCCGCAAUGGGCGAAAGCCUGACGGAGCAACCCCGCGUGAGUGAUGAAGGUCUUCGGAUCGUAAAACUCUGUUAUUAGGGAAGAACAAAUGUGUAAGUAAAUAUGCACGUCUUGACGGUACCUAAUCAGAAAGCCACGGCUAACUACGUG